CCUACGGGAGGCUGCAGUCGAGAAUCAUUCACAAUGGGGGAAACCCCGAUGGUGCGACGCCGCGUGGGGGAAUGAAGGUCUUCGGAUUGUAAACCCCUGUCAUGUGGGAGCAAAUUAAAAAGAUAGUACCACAAGAGGAAGAGACGGCUAACUCUGUGCCAGCAGCCGCGGGAAUACAGAGGUCUCAAGCGUUGUUCGGAAUCACUGGGCGUAAAGCGUGCGUAGGCUGUUUCGUAAGUCGUGUGUGAAAGGCGCGGGCUCAACCCGCGGACGGCACAUGAUACUGCGAGACUAGAGUAAUGGAGGGGGAACCGGAAUUCUCGGUGUAGCAGUGAAAUGCGUAGAUAGCGAGAGGAACACUAGUGGCGAAGGCGGGUUCCUGGACAUUAACUGACGCUGAGGCACGAAGGCCAGGGGAGCGAAAGGGAUUAGAUACCCGAGUAGUC
rnacentral:rRNA from 1 species